rnacentral:rRNA from 1 species
CCCAGACUCCUACGGGAGGCAGCAGUGGGGGAUAUUGCACAAUGGGGGGAACCCUGAUGCAGCGACGCCGCGUGGGUGAAGGAGUAUUUCGGUAUGUAAAGCCCUAUCGGCAGGGAAGAAGCAAGACGGUACCUGACUAAGAAGCCCCGGCUAACUACGUGCCAGCAGCCGCGGUAAUACGUAGGGGGCAAGCGUUAUCCGGAUUUACUGGGUGUAAAGGGGGCGCAGACGGCAGCGCAAGCCAGGAGUGAAAGCCCGGGGCCCAACCCCGGGACUGCUCUUGGAACUGCGUGGCUAGAGUGCAGGAGGGGCAGGCGGAAUUCCUGGUGUAGCGGUGAAAUGCGUAGAUAUUAGGAGGAACACCAGUGGCGAAGGCGGCCUGCUGGACGAUGACUGACGCUGAGGCUCGAAAGCGUGGGGAGCAAACAGGAUUAGAUACCCGUGUA